CGCGGCUCAGGUUAAUAUAACUCCCUCAUUGUUCUGUCUGAAGUUAGCCGCGCCUACCUACUACAUGCUACAUGAGACUGUGUCUACGCAUUGAAAACUGCAUAGGACUACACAUCCAUCCCUGAACGAGAGCAAUGUUGAGAAGAACGGCUCUCACUUGGGGCUUCCAAGGAGAAUGAUCCUGAGAUAAGAUGAACCGAGACUCCUGAAGUGCCACCACCAACAAUGGCUGAGCUGCUACAACUUUGAGGAGAAGUCGCCACGCCACAGUUAGCACACCUGAGCAUUCCCUUUUGUCAGACUUCCCGGGAAGUGUGAAAACCUACAGAGUACUCAGAAAUGUUGUUGAAAGUGGUGGGCCUACAACCAAACAUAUAAAUCAUAUGUAAAUAAGGGAUGUUUGUGUGGGCAACAAACUUGUGUGAGAAACAAUAUUUGUGCAUUCUUUAUCUAGCAUAUAGGCAUCAUUAUUUUACUUUUGAAAUGGUUUUCAAAUUAUUUACUAAGCUGUUAUCUUUUUCUGGAUAUCUAUACUAUUGACAGUUUUCACUUCAAAUUAGCAGACCUACAUUUGGGUAUAUAUCCAGAAAAAAUGGAUGGACUACUCUGAUGAAAAUACAGUACAAAACAAGUCGGUCUGAUCCACAGAUAAGGUCAAAUAAAGUUUUACUAGAGAGAUAAACAAAAAUACAAGGUAAUUUCUGUGACCUUCUCCAAAUAAAAAAUGCACAGUAAGGCAUGUGUCAAACUCAUUCCAUGGAGGGCUGAGUGUAUGUGGGUUUUCGCUCCUCCCUUGUACUUGAUUGAUUAAUUAAGGUCACCAAUUAGUAAAGAACUUCCCUCAACUGGUUGUCCUAAAUGAAAGGAAAAACCCAAUACCUGCAGACAUUAAACCCUCCAUGGAAUGUGUUUGACACCCCUGGUGUAAGGUACUGUAUUGAUACCACCCAGACUGGGGGGGAAAUAAUAAUCACAAAAAAAUAUUUACAAAGAUAUCGCCAAAUGAAAUAUUUUUCAUAAUUGAGAUCCAAAUGAAGAAUAAAGUACAGUGUAGUAGUGGAAAGUUCAACUGUUAUGUAAACAUGCUUGUUAAUAAAUACAUGGAAUAGUGCAGCGGUGAAAUGGCAGCAGUUGUUUGUCGUAGAAGGUGUAGAAGUCUCCCUGCAAUUCAGGCAGUUGCACCAGCGAGGUUGUCCGUGGUCUGGGAUUUCUGGAGACCCUGGGAUGCCUCUCCAGUAUUCAAAAAUCACUCAACGUAUACUGGAAGUAACCAGAUCAAGCACCUCUCCCCUUUCUUCCAAGGACAGUCCUUGUAAUUUAGCCUGUAAUGAUAAAAAAAAGCAACAUAAAAUUACAGAAUGCAAC
ensembl:lncRNA